rnacentral:rRNA from 1 species
UACGUAGGGUGCGAGCGUUAAUCGGAAUUACUGGGCGUAAAGCGUGCGUAUGCGGUUCGCUGUGUCCGAUGUGAAAGCCCCGGGCUUAACCUGGGAAUGGCAUUGGAAACUGGCGGGCUUGAGUGCGGCAGAGGGGGGUGGAAUUCCGCGUGUAGCAGUGAAAUGCGUAGAGAUGCGGAGGAACACCGAUGGCGAAGGCAGCCCCCUGGGUCGACACUGACGCUCAGGCACGAAAGCGUGGGGAGCAAACAGG